rnacentral:tRNA from 1 species
GGGCCCGUAGCUCAACGGUCAGAGCAGGCCGCUCAUAACGGCUUGGCUGGGGGUUCGAAUCCCUCCGGGCCUACCA